AUGAUGAUACAAACUUACAAUUUUAUACGGUUAGAACCUGAAUUAAAAUGAAGAUUGUACUAGGGCGGACUGAUUAA